CAGUUGUAUGAAAGGAGAGAAGGUUAGCACUCCCCUUGAUAAGGAUGGAAGAGGCCCUUCUGGUCUUUGCAACACACAUAUGGUUAAGGUGCUGCCACUUACAUUGUGGCUUCUAACCAGUUUAA
ensembl:snRNA